rnacentral:rRNA from 1 species
ACGAGUUUGAUCAUGGCUCAGAACGAACGCUGGCGGCAGGCCUAACACAUGCAAGUCGAGCGCCCCGCAAGGGGAGCGGCGGACGGGUGAGUAACGCGUGGGAACGUACCCUUUGCUACGGAAUAGCCUCGGGAAACUGGGAGUAAUACCGUAUGGUGUCUUCGGACUAAAGAUUUAUCGCCAAAGGAUCGGCCCGCGUUGGAUUAGGUAGUUGGUGGGGUAAUGGCCUACCAAGCCGACGAUCCAUAACUGGUUUGAGAGGAUGAUCAGCCACACUGGGACUGAGACACGGCCCAGACUCCUACGGGAGGCAGCAGGUGGGGAAUCUUAGACAAUGGGGGCAACCCUGAUCUAGCCAUGCCGCGUGAGUGAUGAAGGCCCUAGGGUUGUAAAGCUCUUUCAGCUGGGAAGAUAAUGACGGUACCAGCAGAAGAAGCCCCGGCUAACUCCGUG